AUUGCAGCUGAGAUAACAGGAGCUGAGACAGCAACAUCGGAGUGGAGUUUCUCAGACCCCACAGCUGGGGUUUCACAGCACCAAGAGCUGCAGCUGGAAGUAAAGAUGGCUUUUCAGGGUCUGUCCACUGAAGGUAGAAGGACUCGCUACUCUUCUUCAUAAUUUGGAGCUGUUUUUCCUCAAUGAAACCAGACACAAAGCCAGUGAUGGAUAGCCUCAUACCAGAAGGCCUUUUCAGCAGCCCGUGCGGCGUUGCCAUACAGUGAGAAGGAUGCUUGGCCCAUGAAGUCAAGUGCAGUGCUAAAGAUUGAUCUGUUCUAGAAUUCCUGUCUGAUGCACUGACCAUUAAGUUAUGCAAACAUGUUAAUUCACAACACAGAAUAAAGCAAUUGCCUCCUGCC